rnacentral:lncRNA from 1 species
CAUGGUGACGAUGUAGAACAAUUGCAUUUAUCAGACGUCGAACAAAGAAUGAUUGCUGCGAAACUUACCCUGGAAGUUCCAACAAAAAGCAUUAAAUUAAAAGUGUUCGUGAUGAAAUGGCACUGGAUAUGAAAAGAAUCGAUUUAAUAAACAAAUAUGACAUCAGACAUAUACAAGAUUUCCAUGGAAUUCAUGCAAAAGACGACUGUACACAUCAGGAUGAUUCAGCAAGUGUCCAUUUGUGGGUAUUAGAGUGUCAGGAAACUAAUUAAUUAAAUAUAGUUUUAUAUGCCCCAAUGUGUAAAAGCACAAGAAAAUCCAUCAUUGCAAGACAAAUAUUGUUGUUUAAUCAUCAGGAGUACUGUACAUAAAGAAAUGCUUUUAAACUU